AGUGAACGCUGGCGGCAGGCCUAACACAUGCAAGUCGAACGGCAGCACAGUAAGAGCUUGCUCUUACGGGUGGCGAGUGGCGGACGGGUGAGGAAUACAUCGGAAUCUACUUUUUCGUGGGGGAUAACGUAGGGAAACUUACGCUAAUACCGCAUACGACCUACGGGUGAAAGCAGGGGAUCUUCGGACCUUGCGCGAUUGAAUGAGCCGAUGUCGGAUUAGCUAGUUGGCGGGGUAAAGGCCCACCAAGGCGACGAUCCGUAGCUGGUCUGAGAGGAUGAUCAGCCACACUGGAACUGAGACACGGUCCAGACUCCUACGGGAGGAAGCAGUGGGGAAUAUUGGACAAUGGGCGCAAGCCUGAUCCAGCCAUACCGCGUGGGUGAAGAAGGCCUUCGGGUUGUAAAGCCCUUUUGUUGGGAAAGAAAAGCAGCAGGUUAAUACCCCGCUGUUCUGACGGUACCCAAAGAAUAAGCACCGGCUAACUUCGUG
rnacentral:rRNA from 1 species